CAGCACCUCAAGUGGUCAGGAUGAUUAUUGGGCCUAAAGCAUCCGUAGCCGGCGCUGUAAGUUUUCGGUUAAAUCUGUACGCUCAACGUACAGGCUGCCGGGAAUACUGCAGCGCUAGGGAGUGGGAGAGGUAGACGGUACUCGGUAGGAAGGGGUAAAAUCCUUUGAUCUACUGAUGACCACCUGUGGCGAAGGCGGUCUACCAGAACACGUCCGACGGUGAGGGAUGAAAGCUGGGGGAGCAAACCGGAUUAGAUACCCGCGUAGUCC
rnacentral:rRNA from 1 species